GCCGGGUGCGGUGGCGUGUGCCUGUAGUCCCAGCUACUGGGGAGGCUGAGGUUGGAGGAUCGCUUGAGUACAGGAGUUCUGGGCUGCUGUGCACUAUGCCGAUUGGGUGUCCACACUAAGUUCGGCAUCAAUAUGGUGAACUUCUGGGAGCAGGGGACCACCAGGUUGCCUAAGGAGGGGUGAACCGGCCUAGGUCGAAAAUGGAGCAGGUCAAAACUCCCGUGCUGAUCAGUAGUGGGAUCGUGCCUGUGAAUAGCCACUGUACUCCAGCCUGGGCAACAUAGCCAGACCCUGUCUCU
rnacentral:SRP_RNA from 1 species